AGUGCACGCUGGCGGUAGGCCUAACACAUGCAAGUCGAACGGCAGCACAGUAAGAGCUUGUUAAUACGGGUGGCGAGUGGCGGUCGGGUGAGGAAUACAUCGGACUCCACUUUUUCGCGGGGGAUAACGUCGGGAAACUUACGCUAAUACCGCAUACGAACUACGGGUGAAAGCAGGGGAUCUUCGGACCUUGCGCGACUGAAUGAGCCGAUGUCGGAUUAGCUAGUUGGCGGGGUAAAGGCCCACCAAGGCGACGAUCCGUAGCUGGUCUGAGAGGAUGAUCAGCCACACUGGAACUGAGACACGGUCCAGACUCCUACGGGAGGCAGCAGUGGGGAAUAUUGGCCAAUGGGCGCAAGCCUGAUCCAGCCAUACCGCGUGGGUGAAGAAGGCCUGCUGGUGGUAAAGCCAUGUUGUUGGGAAAGAAAAUCAGCAGGUUGAUACCCCGCUGUUCUGACGGUACCCAAAGAAUAAGCAGCGGCUAACUUCGUG
rnacentral:rRNA from 1 species